UAUAUUAUUAACUCUUUAUUAUAGUAAAGCAUUUACAUGAUGAACUGAAAAUUUUAAUUCCAAAUUAUAAAUUAAAAAAAUAAUAAUUUAUAUAUAAAAAAAGAAAGCGAUGUCCCACAUGGUUUUUUCAAGGACUUGGAAGGUGAUGGUUUUCCUAUAAAAGGCGAUCCUCCUCCCUUAACAUUUCAAGCAAAAAGUGAAGUCCAAAUAUUUAUUUUUUAAAAUUAUAUUUAUUCGUAUUAAGUAAUAUUUAUUAUUUUAGUAAUUUAAAUAAAUUUCAUUUAAAUUUUAGUAGUAAAUAAAUAUUAUAUUAUUAAAGAAAAAUAAAUGCAUUUAUAGUAAUAAUUAAUGACAUGAAGAAAUUUAUAUAUAAUGAUAAGAUUAUUUAUUUUUAGAAAAUAUUAUUAGAGACAAAUUUAUUUGAUUCUAAAAGUAAAUUUAGAAAUUUUAGAAUAAACAAUUAAAGUCAAUUUAAUUUGUCUUUAAAUAUGGAUUUAG
rnacentral:misc_RNA from 1 species